rnacentral:rRNA from 1 species
GAACGAACGCUGGCGGCAUGCCUAACACAUGCAAGUCGAACGAGACCUUCGGGUCUAGUGGCGCACGGGUGCGUAACGCGUGGGAACCUGCCCUUAGGUUCGGAAUAACUCCCCGAAAGGGGUGCUAAUACCGGAUAAUGUCUUCGGACCAAAGAUUUAUCGCCUUUGGAUGGGCUCGCGUUGGAUUAGCUAGUUGGUAGGGUAAAAGCCUACCAAGGCGACGAUCCAUAGCUGGUCUGAGAGGAUGAUCAGCCACACUGGGACUGAGACACGGCCCAGACUCCUACGGGAGGCAGCAGUGGGGAAUAUUGGACAAUGGGCGAAAGCCUGAUCCAGCAAUGCCGCGUGAGUGAUGAAGGCCUUAGGGUUGUAAAGCUCUUUUACCCGGGAUGAUAAUGACAGUACCGGGAGAAUAAGCUCCGGCUAACUCCGUG